rnacentral:lncRNA from 1 species
AAAACCAACAUAAACAAUAACAACAUAACAAAUGUUACUACUACAAAAUAGACAUUUCGCAACACUAAAUUACAAAGGGUCUGACUAUUAACCAUGGUAAUACCUUAUUUUUGGACACGCUUUAUUUUUUUAUAUUUAUGAAAAACCAUUGCACUAUGGUCAAACUAAUUAACCGUGUUAUACAUUUAUUGAGUGAUAAGAUUUGAAU